GAUGAAGAACGUAGCGAAAUGCGAUAAGUAAUGUGAAUUGCAGAAUUCAGUGAAUCAUCGAAUCUUUGAACGCACAUUGCGCCCAUUAGUAUUCUAGUGGGCAUGCCUGUUCGAGCGUCAUUUCAACCCUUAAGCCUAGCUUAGUGUUGGGAGCCUACUGCUUUUACUAGCUGUAGCUCCUGAAAUACAACGGCGGAUCUGCGAUAUCCUCUGAGCGUAGUAAUUUUUAUCUCGCUUUUGACUGGAGUUGCAGCGUCUUUAGCCGCUAAAUCCCCCAAUUUUUAAUGGUUGACCUCGGAUCAGGUAGGAAUACCCGCUGAACUUAAGCAUAUCAAUAAGCGGAGA
rnacentral:misc_RNA from 1 species